rnacentral:rRNA from 1 species
GUUUCGGCAAGGGGGUCAUCCCGACUUACCAACCCGAUGCAAACUGCGAAUACCGGAGAAUGUUAUCACGGGAGACACACGGCGGGUGCUAACGUCCGUCGUGAAGAGGGAAACAACCCAGACCGCCAGCUAAGGUCCCAAAGUCAUGGUUAAGUGGGAAACGAUGUGGGAAGGCCCAGACAGCCAGGAUGUUGGCUUAGAAGCAGCCAUCAUUUAAAGAAAGCGUAAUAGCUCACUGGUCGAGUCGGCCUGCGCGGAAGAUGUAACGGGGCUAAACCAUGCACCGAAGCUGCGGCAGCGACGCUUAUGCGUUGUUGGGUAGGGGAGCGUUCUGUAAGCCUGCGAAGGUGUGCUGUGAGGCAUGCUGGAGGUAUCAGAAGUGCGAAUGCUGACAUAAGUAACGAUAAAGCGGGUGAAAAGCCCGCUCGCCGGAAGACCAAGGGUUCCUGUCCAACGUUAAUCGGGGCAGGGUGAGUCGACCCCUAAGGCGAGGCCGAAAGGCGUAGUCGAUGGGAAACAGGUUAAUAUUCCUGUACUUGGUGUUACUGCGAAGGGGGGACGGAGAAGGCUAUGUUGGCCGGGCGACGGUUGUCCCGGUUUAAGCGUGUAGGCUGGUUUUCCAGGCAAAUCCGGAAAAUCAAGGCUGAGGCGUGAUGACGAGGCACUACGGUGCUGAAGCAACAAAUGCCCUGCUUCCAGGAAAAGCCUCUAAGCAUCAGGUAACAUCAAAUCGUACCCCAAACCGACACAGGUGGUCAGGUAGAGAAUACCAAGGCGCUUGAGAGAACUCGGGUGAAGGAACUAGGCAAAAUGGUGCCGUAACUUCGGGAGAAGGCACGCUGAUAUGUAGGUGAAGUCCCUCGCGGAUGGAGCUGAAAUCAGUCGAAGAUACCAGCUGGCUGCAACUGUUUAUUAAAAACACAGCACUGUGCAAACACGAAAGUGGACGUAUACGGUGUGACGCCUGCCCGGUGCCGGAAGGUUAAUUGAUGGGGUUAGCGCAAGCGAAGCUCUUGAUCGA